UGAGUGACAGCUACAGAUAAAGUCGGGGAGACCUUGUACAUAGCCACACAAAGUGCAGUUGUCCCCCCCCCCAAAUUUAAAUAUAAAAGUUAAAGAAAAAAGUUUAUAAAAGACACAAAUAAAUAAAUAACAGAGAUCCUUCCGGUUAGAAUGAUUUUGUUAUUUGCUUUCAGUAUGCUACCAUCUGCUAGCUGGGUACACGCGGUAUGGAUCUACCCCCCCCACCAGGCCGGAAGAAAAUUCACUCAUGGCGGUGGACAAGGCAUCCGCCGCCACAUCUGCUUGGAAGAUGGUCGGCUGCUCCCCCGCUCAUCCCCGAGAGGAUUGCGGAAAAUGCUACACAGCAUUCCGGGACCCCAAGACAGAAGUGAACCCCCCACCAUUCCUCAUGGAACAUUCUAGUGUGUCAAACUCCUCAUCAGUCACAACAAAUGGGUUUCUCUGAUCCUCAGCAGUGCUCCGUACACACAAACCCUCACAGCAAUGCAUGUAACUGAAGCCAACUAUAUUUUUCUAUUUCUUAGCAACCUUAAUAACUAAUUAUGCUAAAACCUGAAAAGUUCCUCGAGCACAUACUAGUAAUUUAAUGAAAAAGAGCAGCAUGACCUAAAAUUGAACAGCUGCUAACCUAAAGCUACUGCCUUGUUUACUGUUUUAUAUUUAACAAAUACAGUUUAUCCAAGGUUAAAACCUUCAGGUGAUACCCAAGAUGUCACACAACACAACUGUUUGAAAACACAGUGGUCAGUGGUCAGUGAAGGAAAUCCUGGUAGUUUACUUUAAUUCCUGAAUGAUAAUAUUUUGGCCUUUUUAUAUCAUCCAUCCAUCCAUCCAUCCACCCACCCACCCAUCCAUCCAUCUUCUGUAACCGCUGGUCCUAUUCCGGCUUGCAGGGGGUCCGGAGUCUCUGGCCUUUUAUACUUCUUUAGUUAUUUUAUAAGAUGCUUGUUUUUGCUACAUUUCCUGUUAGCCUUUGCUCUUUCUUUCAUACAUUUUCUGUUCUGAGAAGCUUCAAAAAUCUAAACAGAUUUAAUAAUCUGAAAUAUCACAUCAACUUUAACUAAACAAAAGAAACAAGAGCCUUAUAAUCAGAGCAGAAUCGCGGCGUGAAAGGCCGGAUGUCUGGGAAGCAGAAACGAAAGCUAUUCUGCUUUUAGCUGUGCGUCAAUGUAACAGACAUGAAGUGUA